UUCGGGUGUGAUUACAGCGGCGAACGGGUUAGUAACGCGUGGGAACAUACACAGCACUGGGGGAUAACCACUGGAAACGGUGGCUAAUACCGCAUACGCCCUACGGGGGAAAGAUUUAUCGGUGUUGGAUUGGCCCGCGUUAGAUUAGUUAGUUGGUGGGGUAAUGGCCUACCAAGGCAACGAUCUAUAGCUGGUUUGAGAGGAUGAUCAGCAACACUGGAACUGAGACACGGUCCAGACUCCUACGGGAGGCAGCAGUGGGGAAUAUUGCACAAUGGGGGAAACCCUGAUGCAGCCAUGCCGCGUGAGUGAAGAAGGCCUUAGGGUUGUAAAACUCUUUCAGAUGUAAGGAUGAUGACGAUAGCAUCAGAAGAAGCCCCGGCUAACUUCGUGCCAGCAGCCGCGGUAAUACGAAGGGGGCUAGCGUUGUUCGGAAUUACUGGGCGUAAAGGGCGUGUAGGCGGACUAUAUAGUUAGGGGUGAAAUCCCGGGGCUCAACCUCGGAACUGCCUUUAAUACUUAUAGUCUAGAGUCUGUGAGGGGAUAGUGGAAUACCU
rnacentral:rRNA from 1 species